GGGUUGUGAGGUUAAGCGACUAAGCGUACACGGUGGAUGCCCUGGCAGUCAGAGGCGAUGAAGGACGUGCUAAUCUGCGAUAAGCGUCGGUAAGGUGAUAUGAACCGUUAUAACCGGCGAUUUCCGAAUGGGGAAACCCAGUGUGAUUCGUCACACUAUCAUUAACUGAAUCCAUAGGUUAAUGAGGCGAACCGGGGGAACUGAAACAUCUAAGUACCCCGAGGAAAAGAAAUCAACCGAGAUUCCCCCAGUAGCGGCGAGCGAACGGGGAGGAGCCCAGAGCCUGAAUCAGUGUGUGUGUUAGUGGAAGCGUCUGGAAAGGCGCGCGAUACAGGGUGACAGCCCCGUACACAAAAAUGCACAUGCUGUGAGCUCGAUGAGUAGGGCGGGACACGUGGUAUCCUGUCUGAAUAUGGGGGGACCAUCCUCCAAGGCUAAAUACUCCUGACUGACCGAUAGUGAACCAGUACCGUGAGGGAAAGGCGAAAAGAACCCCGGCGAGGGGAGUGAAAAAGAACCUGAAACCGUGUACGUACAAGCAGUGGGAGCCUCUUUAUGGGGUGACUGCGUACCUUUUGUAUAAUGGGUCAGCGACUUAUAUUCUGUAGCAAGGUUAACCGAAUAGGGGAGCCGAAGGGAAACCGAGUCUUAACUGGGCGUUAAGUUGCAGGGUAUAGACCCGAAACCCGGUGAUCUAGCCAUGGGCAGGUUGAAGGUUGGGUAACACUAACUGGAGGACCGAACCGACUAAUGUUGAAAAAUUAGCGGAUGACUUGUGGCUGGGGGUGAAAGGCCAAUCAAACCGGGAGAUAGCUGGUUCUCCCCGAAAGCUAUUUAGGUAGCGCCUCGUGAAUUCAUCUCCGGGGGUAGAGCACUGUUUCGGCAAGGGGGUCAUCCCGACUUACCAACCCGAUGCAAACUGCGAAUACCGGAGAAUGUUAUCACGGGAGACACACGGCGGGUGCUAACGUCCGUCGUGAAGAGGGAAACAACCCAGACCGCCAGCUAAGGUCCCAAAGUCAUGGUUAAGUGGGAAACGAUGUGGGAAGGCCCAGACAGCCAGGAUGUUGGCUUAGAAGCAGCCAUCAUUUAAAGAAAGCGUAAUAGCUCACUGGUCGAGUCGGCCUGCGCGGAAGAUGUAACGGGGCUAAACCAUGCACCGAAGCUGCGGCAGCGACACUAUGUGUUGUUGGGUAGGGGAGCGUUCUGUAAGCCUGUGAAGGUGUGCUGUGAGGCAUGCUGGAGGUAUCAGAAGUGCGAAUGCUGACAUAAGUAACGAUAAAGCGGGUGAAAAGCCCGCUCGCCGGAAGACCAAGGGUUCCUGUCCAACGUUAAUCGGGGCAGGGUGAGUCGACCCCUAAGGCGAGGCCGAAAGGCGUAGUCGAUGGGAAACAGGUUAAUAUUCCUGUACUUGGUGUUACUGCGAAGGGGGGACGGAGAAGGCUAUGUUGGCCGGGCGACGGUUGUCCCGGUUUAAGCGUGUAGGCUGGUUUUCCAGGCAAAUCCGGAAAAUCAAGGCUGAGGCGUGAUGACGAGGCACUACGGUGCUGAAGCAACAAAUGCCCUGCUUCCAGGAAAAGCCUCUAAGCAUCAGGUAACAUCAAAUCGUACCCCAAACCGACACAGGUGGUCAGGUAGAGAAUACCAAGGCGCUUGAGAGAACUCGGGUGAAGGAACUAGGCAAAAUGGUGCCGUAACUUCGGGAGAAGGCACGCUGAUAUGUAGGUGAAGUCCCUCGCGGAUGGAGCUGAAAUCAGUCGAAGAUACCAGCUGGCUGCAACUGUUUAUUAAAAACACAGCACUGUGCAAACACGAAAGUGGACGUAUACGGUGUGACGCCUGCCCGGUGCCGGAAGGUUAAUUGAUGGGGUCAGCGCAAGCGAAGCUCUUGAUCGAAGCCCCGGUAAACGGCGGCCGUAACUAUAACGGUCCUAAGGUAGCGAAAUUCCUUGUCGGGUAAGUUCCGACCUGCACGAAUGGCGUAAUGAUGGCCAGGCUGUCUCCACCCGAGACUCAGUGAAAUUGAACUCGCUGUGAAGAUGCAGUGUACCCGCGGCAAGACGGAAAGACCCCGUGAACCUUUACUAUAGCUUGACACUGAACAUUGAGCCUUGAUGUGUAGGAUAGGUGGGAGGCUUUGAAGUGUGGACGCCAGUCUGCAUGGAGCCGACCUUGAAAUACCACCCUUUAAUGUUUGAUGUUCUAACGUUGACCCGUAAUCCGGGUUGCGGACAGUGUCUGGUGGGUAGUUUGACUGGGGCGGUCUCCUCCUAAAGAGUAACGGAGGAGCACGAAGGUUGGCUAAUCCUGGUCGGACAUCAGGAGGUUAGUGCAAUGGCAUAAGCCAGCUUGACUGCGAGCGUGACGGCGCGAGCAGGUGCGAAAGCAGGUCAUAGUGAUCCGGUGGUUCUGAAUGGAAGGGCCAUCGCUCAACGGAUAAAAGGUACUCCGGGGAUAACAGGCUGAUACCGCCCAAGAGUUCAUAUCGACGGCGGUGUUUGGCACCUCGAUGUCGGCUCAUCACAUCCUGGGGCUGAAGUAGGUCCCAAGGGUAUGGCUGUUCGCCAUUUAAAGUGGUACGCGAGCUGGGUUUAGAACGUCGUGAGACAGUUCGGUCCCUAUCUGCCGUGGGCGCUGGAGAACUGAGGGGGGCUGCUCCUAGUACGAGAGGACCGGAGUGGACGCAUCACUGGUGUUCGGGUUGUCAUGCCAAUGGCACUGCCCGGUAGCUAAAUGCGGAAGAGAUAAGUGCUGAAAGCAUCUAAGCACGAAACUUGCCCCGAGAUGAGUUCUCCCUGACUCCUUGAGAGUCCUGAAGGAACGUUGAAGACGACGACGUUGAUAGGCCGGGUGUGUAAGCGCAGCGAUGCGUUGAGCUAACCGGUACUAAUGAACCGUGAGGCUUAACCUUACAACGCCGAAG
rnacentral:rRNA from 1 species